AUUGAACGCUGGCGGCAUGCCUUACACAUGCAAGUCGAACGGUAACAGGUCUUCGGAUGCUGACGAGUGGCGAACGGGUGAGUAAUACAUCGGAACGUGCCCGAUCGUGUGGGAUAACGGAGCGAAAGCUUUGCUAAUACCGCACAAGAUCUAAGGAUGAAAGCAGGGGACCGCAAGGCCUUGCGCGAACGGAGCGGCCGAUGGCAGAUUAGGUAGUUGGUGGGGUAAAGGCUUACCAAGCCUACGAUCUGUAGCUGGUCUGAGAGGACGACCAGCCACACUGGGACUGAGACACGGCCCAGACUCCUACGGGAGGCAGCAGUGGGGAAUUUUGGACAAUGGGCGCAAGCCUGAUCCAGCCAUGCCGCGUGCAGGAUGAAGGCCUUCGGGUUGUAAACUGCUUUUGUACGGAACGAAAAGACUCCUUCUAAUAAAGGGGGUUCAUGACGGUACCGUAAGAAUAAGCACCGGCUAACUACGUGCCAGCAGCCGCCGUAAAAC
rnacentral:rRNA from 1 species